AGCCUCUUCAGAUGUCACUUGCCCUGUGGUAAGGAAGUGUAGUCGGCGGCUGGUGCAGAGGCAAGAAGAGAAAGGAAGUUCCCCAAGACAAAAACAUCUCGGCAGACCCUAGUCAUGGGCUACAUUCUCUGUACCAACUUCAUAGCUCCAGUCAGAAAAUAAAUUCCUGCAUCCAGGAGAGGUGGAGUAAGAGAUACAGCUCACCUUGACCACAUUUCUUACUUCCGAGAAGAUUGUAGCAGUAAUUCAUUACAGUCUUCAGGGAACACCGAGGCUUGUUUCAUUUUCCAAGUAUCAACAAGUGGAAUUGACAAGAGUGACAAGUAGUCAGAGCAAAGCAUUUCAUGAUAACUGUAAUCUGCCGGCAUCAGCAGCGACUGCUGCUAAACAUGACUGUCGUUUAUGAGAUAGGAAGAAUAAAAGGAGAGGGAUAAAAAGAUAAUUGUUGAUCUAAAUGAAGAAUUGGAUU
rnacentral:lncRNA from 1 species